rnacentral:rRNA from 1 species
UGUCUCAAGACUAAGCCAUGCAUGUCUAAGUAUAAACGCUUCUAUACUGUGAAACUGCGAAUGGCUCAUUAAAUCAGUUAUAGUUUAUUUGAUGGUUUCUUACUACUUGGAUAACCGUGGUAAUUCUAGAGCUAAUACAUGCACAAAGUCCCGACUUUAUGGAAGGGAUGUAUUUAUUAGAUCCAAAACCAAUGCGAGUCUUCGGGCUCGGUUCUUGGUGAUUCAUGAUAACUGCUCGAACCGUAUGGCCCUUGCGCCGACGGUGCUUCAUUCAAAUUUCUGCCCUAUCAACUUUCGAUGGUACGGUAGUGGCCUACCAUGGUUGCAACGGGUGACGGAGAAUUAGGGUUCGAUUCCGGAGAGGGAGCCUGAGAAACGGCUACCACAUCCAAGGAAGGCAGCAGGCGCGCAAAUUACCCAAUCCCGACUCGGGGAGGUAGUGACAAUAAAUAACAAUGCCGGGCUAUUGUAGUCUGGCAAUUGGAAUGAGUACAAUCUAAAUCCCUUAACGAGGAACAAUUGGAGGGCAAGUCUGGUGCCAGCAGCCGCGGUAAUUCCAGCUCCAAUAGCGUAUAUUAAAGUUGUUGCAGUUAAAAAGCUCGUAGUUGGAUUUCGGGGUGGCCUGCCUGGUCCACCGCAAGGUGAGUACUGGUCAGCCGCCCUUCCUCUCGAAAGCCCCGACUGCUCUUCACUGUAGUGGUCGGGUAGUUCGGGACGUUUACUUUGAAAAAAUUAGAGUGUUCAAGGCAGGCUAUCGCCUGAAUACAUUAGCAUGGAAUAAUGGAAGAGGACCUCGGUCCUAUUUUGUUGGUUUCUAGGGCCGAAGUAAUGAUUAAGAGGGACAGUUGGGGGCAUUCGUAUUUAAUUGUCAGAGGUGAAAUUCUUGGAUUUAUGAAAGACGAACUAGUGCGAAAGCAUUUGCCAAGGAUGUUUUCAUUAAUCAAGAACGAAAGUUAGGGGU